GGUGACACAAUGGUUAAGUGUUUGGCUGCUAACCAAAAUGUGGGUGGUUGGAAACCACCUGUCACUC
rnacentral:tRNA from 1 species